rnacentral:rRNA from 1 species
UGGGGAAUUUUGGACAAUGGGCGAAAGCCUGAUCCAGCAACGCCGCGUGUGUGAAGAAGGCCUUCGGGUUGUAAAGCACUUUUGUCCGGAAAGAAAUCCUUGGCUCUAAUACAGUCGGGGGAUGACGGUACCGGAAGAAUAAGCACCGGCUAACUACGUGCCAGCAGCCGCGGUAAUACGUAGGGUGCAAGCGUUAAUCGGAAUUACUGGGCGUAAAGCGUGCGCAGGCGGUUUGCUAAGACCGAUGUGAAAUCCCCGGGCUCAACCUGGGAACUGCAUUGGUGACUGGCAGGCUAGAGUAUGGCAGAGGGGGGUAGAAUUCCACGUGUAGCAGUGAAAUGCGUAGAGAUGUGGAGGAAUACCGAUGGCGAAGGCAGCCCCCUGGGCCAAUACUGACGCUCAUGCACGAAAGCGUGGGGAGCAAACAGGAUUAGAUACCCUGGUAGUCCACGCCCUAAACGAUGUCAACUAGUUGUUGGGGAUUCAUUCCUUAGUAACGUAGCUAACGCGUGAAGUUGACCGCCUGGGGAGUACGGUCGCAAGAUUAAACUCAAUGAUUGACGGGUCAUAGCUGUUUCCU